rnacentral:tRNA from 1 species
GGAAGAGUGUCUGAGUGGUUUAAGGUGCUUGCUUGGAAAGUAAGUGUGGGGAAACCCACCGUAGGUUCGAAUCCUAUCUCUUCCGCCA